GACGAACGCUGGCGGCGUGCCUAAUACAUGCAAGUCGAACGCUUCUUUCCUCCCGAGUGCUUGCACUCAAUUGGAAAGAGGAGUGGCGGACGGGUGAGUAACACGUGGGUAACCUACCCAUCAGAGGGGGAUAACACUUGGAAACAGGUGCUAAUACCGCAUAACAGUUUAUGCCGCAUGGCAUAAGAGUGAAAGGCGCUUUCGGGUGUCGCUGGUGGAUGGACCCGCGGUGCAUUAGCUAGUUGGUGAGGUAACGGCUCACCAAGGCCACGAUGCAUAGCCGACCUGAGAGGGUGAUCGGCCACACUGGGACUGAGACACGGCCCAGACUCCUACGGGAGGCAGCAGUAGGGAAUCUUCGGCAAUGGACGAAAGUCUGACCGAGCAACGCCGCGUGAGUGAAGAAGGUUUUCGGAUCGUAAAACUCUGUUGUUAGAGAAGAACAAGGACGUUAGUAACUGAACGUCCCCUGACGGUAUCUAACCAGAAAGACACGGCUAACUACGUG
rnacentral:rRNA from 1 species